rnacentral:rRNA from 1 species
UACAUGGGGUGCAAACGUUGCUCGGAAUUAUUGGGCGUAAAGCGCACGUAGGCGGUUCGUUAAGUCGGAUGUGAAAGCCCUCGGCUCAACUGAGGAAGUGCACCCGAAACUGGCGAGCUUGAGUACGAAAGAGGAUCGCGGAAUUCCCGGUGUAGAGGUGAAAUUCGUAGAUAUCGGGAGGAACACCGGUGGCGAAGGCGGCGAUCUGGGUCGAUACUGACGCUGAUGCGCGAAAGCUAGGGGAGCAAACGGG